rnacentral:rRNA from 1 species
GAUGAACGCUGGCGGCGUGCCUAAUACAUGCAAGUCGAGCGAACAGACGAGGAGCUUGCUCCUCUGACGUUAGCGGCGGACGGGUGAGUAACACGUGGAUAACCUACCUAUAAGACUGGGAUAACUUCGGGAAACCGGAGCUAAUACCGGAUAAUAUAUUGAACCGCAUGGUUCAAUAGUGAAAGACGGUUUUGCUGUCACUUAUAGAUGGAUCCGCGCCGCAUUAGCUAGUUGGUAAGGUAACGGCUUACCAAGGCAACGAUGCGUAGCCGACCUGAGAGGUGAUCGGCCACACUGGAACUGAGACACGGUCCAGACUCCUACGGGAGGCAGCAGUAGGGAAUCUUCCGCAAUGGGCGAAAGCCUGACGGAGCAACGCCGCGUGAGUGAUGAAGGUCUUCGGAUCGUAAAACUCUGUUAUUAGGGAAGAACAAAUGUGUAAGUAACUAUGCACGUCUUGACGGUACAUAAUCAGAAAGCCACGGCUAACUACGUG